rnacentral:rRNA from 1 species
GACGAACGCUGGCGGCGUGCUUAACACAUGCAAGUCGAACGGAAAGGCCCUGCUUUUGUGGGGUGCUCGAGUGGCGAACGGGUGAGUAACACGUGAGUAACCUGCCCUUGACUUUGGGAUAACUUCAGGAAACUGGGGCUAAUACCGGAUAGGAGCUCCUGCUGCAUGGUGGGGGUUGGAAAGUUUCGGCGGUUGGGGAUGGACUCGCGGCUUAUCAGCUUGUUGGUGGGGUAGUGGCUUACCAAGGUAUUGACGGGUAGCCGGCCUGAGAGGGUGUCCGGCCACAUUGGGACUGGGGUACGGCCCAGACUCCUACGGGAGGCAGCAGUGGGGAAUAUUGCACAAUGGGCGGAAGCCUGAUGCGGCAACGCCGCGUGCGGGAUGACGGCCUUCGUGUUGUAAACCGCUUUCGCCUGUGGCGAAGCGUGAGUGACGGUAAUGGGUAAAGAAGCACCGGCUAACUACGUG